rnacentral:rRNA from 1 species
GACAAUGGGCGAAAGCCUGAUCCAGCCAUGCCGCGUGCAGGAAGACUGCCCUAUGGGUUGUAAACUGCUUUUAUACAGGAAGAAACACCUCUACGUGUAGAGGCUUGACGGUACUGUAAGAAUAAGGAUCGGCUAACUCCGUGCCAGCAGCCGCGGUAAUACGGAGGAUCCAAGCGUUAUCCGGAAUCAUUGGGUUUAAAGGGUCCGCAGGCGGUUUUUUAAGUCAGAGGUGAAAUCCUAUCGCUCAACGAUAGAACUGCCUUUGAUACUGAAAGACUUGAGUUAUUGUGAAGUGGUUAGAAUAUGUAGUGUAGCGGUGAAAUGCAUAGAGAUCACACAGAAUACCGAUUGCGAAGGCAGAUUACUAACAAUAUACUGACGCUGAGGGACGAAAGCGUGGGUAGCGAACAGGAUUAGAUACCCUGGUAGUCCACGCCGUAAACGAUGGAUACUAGCUGUUCGGCCGUAAGGCUGAGUGGCUAAGCGAAAGUGAUAAGUAUCCCACCUGGGGAGUACGUUCGCAAGAAUGAAACUCAAAGGAAUUGACGGGGGCCCGCACAAGCGGUGGAGCAUGUGGUUUAAUUCGAUGAUACGCGAGGAACCUUACC